rnacentral:misc_RNA from 1 species
UUUUAAGCAGGUAAAUCUGUGACUGGCGAGUGUUUCCGUAGACUUGUUCUAGGUGAGACGUGUGACGGUCGCGGUAUUCCCCCGGUGGAAAACAAUAUGUCUGGGAGCCAUCCAAUUCUGUGCUUGACACUGCUACUGAAUUAUGUAACAUGUGCAAGUUCUUACAACCUCGUCCUUCUCCAUACCAACGAUGUCCAUGCACACAUCGAAGAGAUGAACAAAUACGCCAGUGGGUGCAAGGCCAGCGACAGGGACAAGAGGGAAUAUUUCGCGAGGAGAUGUUUUGACAACCAUGCCUUUCAGAAACAAUGUAGAUCUUAUUAAUCUCCAAGGGAAAUAUCUCCGACAGGCACUGGAGCAUUCGGUGCAGCACUAUGACAAGCUGAACAGAGCAGGAGCUUUUCUUCAGGUGUCAGGACUGAGGGUAACAUAUGACCUGUGUAAACCCCCGGGUCAGCGUGUGGUGUCCGCUUACACGCGCUGCCGUCGAUGUUCCAGCCCCAGGUACUCUCUCCUAAACGACGACAAAAUCUACACCAUUGUAACCUUGGACUUCGUGAUUCGUGGAGGGGACGGGUUCAAGGUCAUUCAUGAUCACCAUACCGACCACCAGCCAUUCAAUGAAAUAGACAGCGAUGUAUUUACUUCUUAUCUCCAAUCAAAUAGUCCAAUCAUCAAAGGAGAGGAAGGAAGGAUAACUCUGUUAGAAGACUGUGCAGCGAGUAACUCGAUGAUUAUCAAGCCUAACGCAUUCAAUCUUUUUGUUAUUCCGUUGGUUUUCUUUAACAUUCUUCUGUGUUUGCUUUAGAGGUUCUGUAAGUUCAAAUAAAGGUUUAAACACGUUC